GCAGUAUACAGUAUAUUUGAGUUGAGGAAGGUGUGUGGUGUAUCUGCAGUAUAUUUGAGUUGAGGAAGGUGUGGAGGUAUCUACAGUAUAUUUGAGUUGAGGAAGGUGUGUGAGGUAUCUACAGUAUAUUUGAGUUGAGGAAGGUGUGUGAGGUAUCUACAGUAUAUUUGAGUUGAGGAAGGUGUGUGGUGUAUCUACAGUAUAUUUGAGUUGAGGAAGGUGUGGUGUAUCUGCAGUACAGUAUCUUUGAGUUGAGGAAGGUGUGGUGUAUCUGCAGUACAGUGUAUUUGAGUUGAGGAGAUCACACACGUGCUGAAUGGUUCAUACCGGAGUUGAGAGGACUGAUGGCAUGAAUAUGGUUAUCUGUCGCAUUCAGACUUGUGGAUUUGCCACAGUGUUGACGUGAGGCACCCUGGGAAGACAAUUAGCAUGUCCCAGGGAGAGACAGAGAGAGG
ensembl:lncRNA